rnacentral:lncRNA from 1 species
AUGGAAUCCAAGGAUGGGGCCUCAGGAGUGCAGGAGGACCGUGACCUCUAUGUGAACCUGGCAGUGAACUCUCCUAGAAAGCGCUUUUGCUCAAGGCUGCAGCCAGAACCAGGCUACCCGCUGCCCGUUUUGAAGGAAUUUGACUUACAGACUGGCUCCAAGAUAAAAAUCAUCUUCAUCUCCAGGAACAGAGGCCCUAGAGACACCUUGCUGGAGGCUUUGAGAAGAUGACACUGAUGGUGGUAGGCAGAAAAAAAAUCUGAGGAAGGUCAACUGUGAUGAGCAGCUCGUCUAGAACAGUUCCUGCAGUUGCAGCCUUGGUGCCAAGCACGUUGGAGCUGCUGGCCCCUCCCCCAGCCCUGCACACUAUUCCUGUCUGUGGAAACUAUAACACCCUGCUGUAAGAGAUGCUUGCUUGUCAACAUGCCAACAGGCUUGUCCACUCCAACCAACAGGAGUAGGUUGGAGUUGGGAUUUUUUUUUUGCUUAUUGGGAAGUAAUUUGGACUUUUAAAAAUUAAAAAAAUUUUUUUUCCCUGCAAAGCCCCAGUACAUGGUUGUAUCUCCUAGUUGUAAGUUCUUCUAUGUGAGCUGCCACCACAGCAUGGCAGCUGACAGAUGGGUGGUGUGGUUCCAUGACUGGGAAACAAACCUGGGCUGCCAAAGAGGUGAGAGCACCUAACUCUAGCCACUAAACCAUCAAGGCUGGCUCAGAAAUAACCUGGAUUUUAAACUUAAUUGAAUCUCGGUUCAAAGCCUGACUCUGCCAUUUGCAAAAACUUCCAGGGCCAAGAAAAACUCAACGAAUGUUGUUUUCCCUCUUUGUCUCCUUUGUUGAGAAACCGUGCACCCUUCUUUCCGGUGGAU